rnacentral:rRNA from 2 species
UACAGAGGGUGCGAGCGUUAAUCGGAAUUACUGGGCGUAAAGCGUGCGUAGAUGGUUAUGUAAGUCGGAUGUGAAAGCCCCGGGCUCAACCUGGGAAUUGCAUUCGAGACUGCAUAGCUAGGAUGCGGAAGAGGGAAGCGGAAUUUCCGGUGUAGCGGUGAAAUGCGUAGAUAUCGGAAGGAACACCAGUGGCGAAAGCGGCUUCCUGGUCCAGCAUCGACGUUCAGGCACGAAAGCGUGGGGAGCAAACAGG